rnacentral:lncRNA from 1 species
UUGCACGGAUGGUGGUUAUGAAAUCCAAAGCUGCUGGGUCGCUGUACUUGUCCUACCCCAGGCCGUGCUGCCAGCACACCCUGGCACACAGCGACCUGCGCUACCUUGUGGUUAUCCAAGUGUGGCCAUGACCUGUGGCUCUCCCAAAAUGUCUCAGGCCAAGUGACUCCCUCCCCCACCAUCUGCACUCACUGCCACGCACGCAAGCACACACGCAGCGCACAGCCUUUAGCACCCAUAGCAUGUGUGGCCCUCGACAGGUCACUUGAGGGCAGUUGCAGUCCCAUGUCUUGGAAACAGGAUGUGCUUCUCUGCCCAAGCUGCUCCGCAUGGCCCUCUCACAGCCCCUGCCAUGAUUAAGUCCUUUCCACUGGGAAGCGAUACCUGCAUUUGAUUCUUGAAUUUUGCAAUAUGCUUAAGUGCGGUGGUGGUGACACUGGGCUUGAAGCCAUCAGCUCAUAUUUACUUGUGAUCUAAGACAGUGAUUUCUGUUCAGACCCCAAAGGGCAAGCUGCUAUGUGAUUUAAAGUCAUGCUACCAGCAGGAGCAUAUGACCUCAUGGUAUGAAAAAGCAGGAGGAGAUUAGCAAAGAAGUUUCUAAGGCCCCCUCCUUUGCUUUCUCUACCCCCUACCUCGCCUUGGAUUUUUCUGCCUUUUCGAAGAGAGGGAGCGAGGGAGAGUGGAAGGACUCAGUGAGGAAGGAGUUAAGGGAAUGCUCACUGGGGAUUAUAAAACAGCCAGGCACUUGGAAACAGUUAAGAAGAGAGAAACAGAUCUGCCAGGAGGGAGUGUGGCACUGGAGCCGGUGGUUUAUUUUCAUGCCUCCCUACACAGCAAUGCAGACGGCUCUCCUACAAUGGGGACGGAGGAAUUUGUGAAUCUCCCUGCAAAUAAUCAGGGGAAGGAUCAGUUUAUGCCAAUGUAAGAUUCACUACCUCUGAGUAUUGUCCAUCUGCCUGUCCUAUAUCCAGCUUAUGACCAGUGAUGCCUGCAGUGCCUGACACUUGCUUUCUCUUUCCGAGAGAACAGGAGGAAAGGUGGGGCUUAUGCUCUAAGCAAAAGUCCCUGUUUGGAAUUGAGUAACAAGACUUUGUUAUGCGUUAAAGUUAAAAAUAAAUUGAUCUUGUUUAUCUGAACA